AAAGAAUUAAUACCGAAACAACAGCGAAAAAAACAUGUUCAUUGAGAAUAUAAAUUGUUCAGAAAAGUUUGUAACGAAAGACAAAUGAAUUUGCAGUCAACAAGCACUUAUAUACUAUACUACCAAACAUCUGUAUAAUAUAUCUGAGCUUUUCUGUGAGAUAUACCGGUUCUAAAACCAUUUCUUUCACUUCGUCUUCGAGUUGUAAAACAAAAGUAUUUCAAAUUUUCAAGGCCAAGCGGUUUUUGACCGAACAAGUUGUCAAGACAUUGUAACAGAGGAUAAUUAAUUAUUGCUUCAGUUAAUGGCUAUUAUAGACUUUAGUAUAAACCUACUAGUAGGCUAUCACAUUUCGUGCCUUCUGAUUGGCUACGCUACUAGUAGGCUAUUAGUGAUAGCCUACUAAUAGAAAAUUUAGAAUGGCGGAAAAUUCGCGUUUUGCACUUUUGCCGAAGUGUCUGAUGAUUUUUUGGACGACUUAUUGAACAAUUCUGUACUAAAAAAACCCCCCAAAAAGCAACAAAAAU